GGUGAACAGUGAAUGUGGGAAUGGGGUUGUAUUGUAAGAGAUUUUACCUUUAAAAUUAAUAUCAUUUUUUUCUGAGAAGUCAAAUUCAACUACUGUUUUCAUUUCAGAAUUCAGUACUGUACACAGGAAAUUACUGUCUUCCGUGAAGACUUAGUAAAUAAAAUGUGCAGAAACUGCGUCCGUUUUCCUAGCAGCAAUUUGGCUAUUCCUAAUCACUUUGUAAAGACUAUCUUAUCCCAAGGACAUCUGACUCCCCUACCUCUUUAUGUCUGCCCAGUGUAUUGGGCAUAUGACUAUGCUUUGAGAGUGUAUCCUGUGCCCGAUCUACUUGUCAUUGCAGACAAAUAUGAUCCUUUCACUACGACAAAUACCGAAUGCCUCUGCAUAAACCCUCAAACUUCAAGGCUUUUGAGAUUCUUAAAGAUCAUCUGAAGAAAAUUCAUCAGUUUUCUGCUUAACUCUAUAUCUUAUGUGAUUCUGAUAUUACAAUAAAAUUAUGGUAAACUUUA
rnacentral:lncRNA from 1 species